UACGUAGGGGGCUAGCGUUGUCCGGAAUCAUUGGGCGUAAAGCGCGUGUAGGCGGCCCGGUAAGUCCGCUGUGAAAGUCGGGGGCUCAACCCUCGGAUGCCGGUGGAUACUGUCGGGCUUGAGUGCGGAAGAGGCGAGUGGAAUUCCUGGUGUAGCGGUGAAAUGCGCAGAUAUCAGGAGGAACACCAAUGGCGAAGGCAGCUCGCUGGGACGGUACUGACGCUGAGACGCGAAAGCGUGGGGAGCAAACAGG
rnacentral:rRNA from 1 species